ACAUACGACCAUACCCACUGGAAAA
rnacentral:rRNA from 1 species